CAGUCGCCGCGGGAACACGAAGGGGGCUAGCGUUACUCGGAAUUACUGGGCGUAAAGGGCGCGUAGGCGGCGCUCCAAGUUAGGCGUGAAAGUCCUGGGCUCAACCUGGGAACUGCGCUUAAGACUGGAGUGCUUGAGGAUGGAAGAGGGUUGUGGAAUUCCCAGUGUAGAGGUGAAAUUCGUAGAUAUUGGGAAGAACACCGGUGGCGAAGGCGGCAACCUGGUCCAUUACUGACGCUGAGGCGCGACAGCGUGGGGAGCAAACAGGAUUAGAUACCCCCGUAGUCCCUGUCUCUUAUAC
rnacentral:rRNA from 1 species